GGAGGUAUGGCUCAAGUGGUAGAGUGUCAGGCUUGAGUGAAAAGGCCACAUGAUAGAAUGAGGCCCUGAAUUUGAGGCCCUGAGUUCAAGUCCCAGUACUGGCA
rnacentral:tRNA from 1 species